UACCACACUGAAAAGGUCACCUGCCUUUGGGCCCCUGCUACAUUAAUGGACUUGGUGGAACUAGGCCAGCGAAGGUUUUCAGUAGAGUGCUUUGUGGAUGCUGGUCCAUUGAUGGCUGAACUGCUGGUCCCUUCCCAGUGGAAAACCCCAGAGAUGAGCCAAAUCUGCCUUCAGCUGUGGCCAUCCA